CUCGCAGGGGGGCGCCUCCCCGGCACGUGCGCCGCGGGGCCCGGGGGCAGGCGAAGCUGCACCCGAGUUUACCACGUGGAUUUGGUAGAUUUGCGACCAUAAAUGGGAAACCAAGACCCUUGAAGCCCAUCUCCGAAACCCAAGUUAAGCACCUCUAACAGAAGAGAAAUGCAACAGCCCUGAGGAUAGCACUUAAAAGGAAGUGGUCUAUGGAGGAGACACAGUCUGGGACAUGCUGAAAUUUCUGAGGGUUCAGCUUGGCCAUUUUAGAAAGAACAUGGGUCUUCUCUGGGACUGGUCUCCUGUCUGUCAACCGGGAACCUUGGCGGGGCCGCUGGCCGCUACUUGUCCAGCAGAAAGAAACUGCCUUUGGGUGAUGGUAAGAACGCCAGGAGCAGAGGCGGCCCUUCAGAUGUACCAGAUGAAGUCCCAGAACUACCCACAUCAGGGCGGCUCAACUGUUGAACUGUGACAGCCUGACCAGAGAGGGCAGCUCUGCUUCUCAGGGCCAGUGGCACCACACCAUGCUGGGGACACCACAGAGUUGGAGACCAGGGCUAAGAAGGUGGAAACACGAGGACAGACGCUGGAAUGUGUGGCCUCCUCUAGGAAAAAGCAGCCAAAAAGGUCACCUGCUUUGGACACAGAAGCGGCUUCCCAAGUUUACUUUACAA